UACGGGGGGGGCAAGCGUUGUUCGGAAUUACUGGGCGUAAAGGGCUCGUAGGCGGCCAACUAAGUCAGACGUGAAAUCCCUCGGCUUAACCGGGGAACUGCAUCUGAUACUGGAUGGCUUGAGUUCGGGAGAGGGAUGCGGAAUUCCAGGUGUAGCGGUGAAAUGCGUAGAUAUCGGGAGGAACACCAGUGGCGAAGGCGAUCAUCUGGGGUUGUUCUGACACUGAGGAGCGAAAGCUAGGGGAGCAAACGGG
rnacentral:rRNA from 1 species